UGAUUAUGGCUCAGAACGAACGCUGGCGGCAGGCCUAACACAUGCAAGUCGAACGCCCCGCAAGGGGAGUGGCAGACGGGUGAGUAACGCGUGGGAAUCUACCUUGUGGUACGGAACAACCAAGGGAAACUUUGGCUAAUACCGUAUGAGCCCUUCGGGGGAAAGAUUUAUCGCCAUAAGAUGAGCCCGCGUAGGAUUAGCUAGUUGGUGAGGUAAUGGCUCACCAAGGCGACGAUCCUUAGCUGGUCUGAGAGGAUGACCAGCCACACUGGGACUGAGACACGGCCCAGACUCCUACGGGAGGCAGCAGUGGGGAAUAUUGGACAAUGGGCGCAAGCCUGAUCCAGCCAUGCCGCGUGUGUGAUGAAGGCCUUAGGGUUGUAAAGCACUUUCGCCGAUGAAGAUAAUGACUGUAGUCGGAGAAGAAGCCCCGGCUAACUUCGUGCCAGCAGCCGCGGUAAUACGAAGGGGGCUAGCGUUGUUCGGAAUUACUGGGCGUAAAGCGUACGUAGGCGGAUCGUUAAGUUAGGGGUGAAAUCCCGAGGCUCAACCUCGGAACUGCCUCUGAUACUGGCGAUCUUGAGUCCGGGAGAGGUGAGUGGAACUCCUAGUGUAGAGGUGAAAUUCGUAGAUAUUAGGAAGAACACCAGUGGCGAAGGCGGCUCACUG
rnacentral:rRNA from 1 species